rnacentral:rRNA from 1 species
UACAGAGGUCUCAAGCGUUGUUCGGAUUCAUUGGGCGUAAAGGGUGUGUAGGCGGUCUGUUAAGUCUGAUGUGAAAUCCCCGGGCUCAACCUGGGAACUGCGUUGGAAACUGGCAAACUAGAGUACGUAAGAGGGGGGUGGAAUUCCACGUGUAGCAGUGAAAUGCGUAGAGAUGUGGAGGAACACCGAUGGCGAAGGCAGCCCCCUGGGACGAUACUGACGCUGAGGCACGAAAGCGUGGGGAGCAAACAGG